ensembl:lncRNA
CAGGAAGGACUGCUGAAGGGGGCUGAAGGUCAGGCCGAGACUCUGCUGUGUCAUGGGAGGAGGUCAGAUGGCCAGCCCGCUGUUUGUCCUGUAGGUGUGGGCAGAAACCACUGGAAGGAAAGAUCAAGGGCUGAUUCGCCCCAGCCUCUGGGUUCUGUGUGGAGCCUGUAUAAUCCAGUAACAAGAUUUCAUUUGAGGGUUGUAAAUCCAAAAAGAUUUAUCUGGGCCCUUAACUUCCAUCUUCCCAGCAAGAGGCAUCAGAAUGGCACUGCCAGGGGGAAGUCUCCACGAAGAUUUCGUCAAUGAAAAGAGGAUAGAAAUUCCAUGGUUCUAGGGUUCUGGAGACUGAAAAAUCUGAAGAUGGACACUCUUUCCAGAAAUUACAUGGUUUCAGGUAAUUCUGGGACUUUAUGGGUUCCCUGAAGCCUACCCCUAGAUCCAUUGGGUCUGAGUGCUUGAAAUUAAUGGGUUGAAGAUUUCCAGAUUGGUCUGGAAAUCAGGAUGGGGGUGGGAGGUGGGUUUGCCCAAUGGGACCAAGGUUCCGGUUCUGAGGGUGGGGCCAGGCUCAGCUGAGCCCAAGAUGUGCCCUCAGACUGCUGGCAGCCCCGCUCAAUGUUUGGGUGCUGAGAUCAGCCCCUUCAAACUGUGAGUCAUCCGGUGCUAUUUCUUUACAGAUUUUUACAAGAAAAGAGACUUUAUUUGGAAUGAUUUGCCAAGAUAUUAUAAAUCAAGACACAUACAAAACAGACUUCAAGGAGCUACAGAAACUUACAGAAUUUCAGGAGCUAUGAAAAUAAACUACUGCCAAUGUCCCCA